rnacentral:rRNA from 1 species
AGAUUCCUACGGGAGGCAGCAGUGGGGAAUAUUGGACAAUGGGCGGAAGCCUGAUCCAGCCAUGCCGCGUGUGUGAAGAAGGCCUUUUGGUUGUAAAGCACUUUAAGCGAGGAGGAGGCUCCUUUAGUUAAUACCUAAAGAGAGUGGACGUUACUCGCAGAAUAAGCACCGGCUAACUCUGUGCCAGCAGCCGCGGUAAUACAGAGGGUGCGAGCGUUAAUCGGAUUUACUGGGCGUAAAGCGUGCGUAGGCGGCUUUUUAAGUCGGAUGUGAAAUCCCUGAGCUUAACUUAGGAAUUGCAUUCGAUACUGGGGAGCUAGAGUAUGGGAGAGGAUGGUAGAAUUCCAGGUGUAGCGGUGAAAUGCGUAGAGAUCUGGAGGAAUACCGAUGGCGAAGGCAGCCAUCUGGCCUAAUACUGACGCUGAGGUACGAAUGCAUGGGGAGCAAACAGGAUUAGAUACCCUGGUAGUCCAUGCCGUAAACGAUGUCUACUAGCCGUUGGGGCCUUUGAGGCUUUAGUGGCGCAGCUAACGCG